rfam:Dialister invisus CAG:218 genomic scaffold, scf13
GGACACGACUCUGGAGAGUCCCAUUCAAUUGGGCGCCGAAGGGGCAAAAAUGGCUGACCGGGCCAUUCCAAUCUCUCAGGCAAAAGGACAGGGCUGGCAUU